CACGUAGGGCGCAAGCGUCGUCCGGAAUUAUUGGGCGUAAAGAGCUCGUAGGCGGUCUGUUGCGUCCGCUGUGAAAACUCGGGGCUUAACCCCGAGCCUGCAGUGGAUAGGGGCAGACUAGAGGUAGGUAGGGGAGAAUGGAAUUCCCGGUGUAGCGGUGAAAUGCGCAGAUAUCGGGAGGAACACCGGUGGCGAAGGCGGUUCUCUGGGCCUUACCUGACGCUGAGGAGCGAAAGUGUGGGGAGCGAACAGG
rnacentral:rRNA from 1 species